rnacentral:tRNA from 1 species
ACAUUGGUGGUUCAGUGAUAGAAUUCUUACUUUGCAUGUGGGAGACCUGGGUUCAGUUCCCAGCCAGUGCA